rnacentral:rRNA from 1 species
GAUGAACGCUAGCGACAGGCUUAACACAUGCAAGUCGAGGGGCAGCGAGGGAGUGCUUGCACUUCUGUCGGCGACCGGCGCACGGGUGAGUAACACGUAUGCAACCUGCCCUUGUCAGGGGGAUAAGCGAGGGAAACCUCGUCUAAUACCGCAUAUAUGGUUUAGAGGCAUCUCUUAAUCAGGAAAGAAUUAUCGGACAAGGAUGGGCAUGCGGGACAUUAGGUAGUUGGGGGUGUAACGGACCACCAAGCCGACGAUGUCUAGGGGUUCUGAGAGGAAGGUCCCCCACACUGGUACUGAGACACGGACCAG